rnacentral:rRNA from 1 species
GGAAUCUUCCACAAUGGACGCAAGUCUGAUGGAGCAACGCCGCGUGAGUGAAGAAGGUCUUCGGAUCGUAAAACUCUGUUGUUAAAGAAGAACAUGCAGGAGAGUAACUGUUCUUGUAUUGACGGUAUCUAACCAGAAAGCCACGGCUAACUACGUGCCAG